UGAACGCUGGCGGUAUGCUUUACACAUGCAAGUCGUACGGGAGUUUUUAACUCAAGUGGCGGACGGGUGAGUAACACGUAAGAAUUUACCUUUAGGAGGGGGAUAACAAGUGGAAACAGUUGCUAAUACCCCAUAUGCUUUCGAGUAAAAUGGAUUUUUCCGCCUAGAGAGAAGCUUGCGGCUGAUUAGCUUGUUGGUAAGGUAAUGGCUUACCAAGGCGACGAUCAGUAUCUGGUUUGAGAGGACGAUCAGACACACUGGAACUGAGACACGGUCCAGACUCCUACGGGAGGCAGCAGUGGGGAAUUUUCCGCAAUGGGCGAAAGCCUGACGGAGCAAUACCGCGUGAGGGAUGACGGCCUAUGGGUUGUAAACCUCUUUUUUCAGGGAGGAAUAAAUGACGUGUACCUGAAGAAUAAGCAUCGGCUAACUCC
rnacentral:rRNA from 1 species